UGGGGGAUAUUGCACAAUGGGGGAAACCCUGAUGCAGCGACGCCGCGUGGAGGAAGACGGUUUUCGGAUUGUAAACUACUGUCUUCGGGGACGAUAAUGACGGUACCCGAGGAGGAAGCUCCGGCUAACUACGUGCCAGCAGCCGCGGUAAUACGUAGGGAGCGAGCGUUGUCCGGAAUUACUGGGUGUAAGGGGAGCGCAGGCGGUACGGCAAGUCUGAUGUGAAAGCCCGGGGCUCAACCCCGGUAUUGCAUUGGAAACUGUCGGACUAGAGUGUCGGAGGGGUAAGUGGAAUUCCUAGUGUAGCGGUGAAAUGCGUAGAUAUCGAGAGGAACACUCGUGGCGAAGGCGGGUUCCUGGACAUUAACUGACGCUGAGGUACGAAGGCCAGGGUAGCGAAAG
rnacentral:rRNA from 1 species